AUUGAACGCUGGCGGCAGGCCUAACACAUGCCAGUCGAGCGGAUGAAGGGAGCUUGCUCCUGGAUUCAGCGGCGGACUGGUGAGUAAUGCCUAGGAAUCUGCCUGGUAGUGGGGGAUAACGUCCGGAAACGGGCGCUAAUACCGCAUACGUCCUGAGGGAGAAAGUGGGGGAUCUUCGGACCUCACGCUAUCAGAUGAGCCUAGGUCGGAUUAGCUAGUUGGUGGGGUAAAGGCCUACCAAGGCGACGAUCCGUAACUGGUCUGAGAGGAUGAUCAGUCACACUGGAACUGAGACACGGUCCAGACUCCUACGGGAGGCAGCAGGGGGGAAUAUUGGACAAUGGGCGAAAGCCUGAUCCAGCCAUGCCGCGUGUGUGAAGAAGGUCUUCGGAUUGUAAAGCACUUUAAGUUGGGAGGAAGGGCAGUAAGUUAAUACCUUGCUGUUUUGACGUUACCAACAGAAUAAGCACCGGCUAACUUCGUG
rnacentral:rRNA from 1 species